AUUGAACGCUGGCGGCAGGCUUAACACAUGCAAGUCGAGCGAGCGGCGGACGGGUGAGCAAUGUCUGGGAAACUGCCUGAUGGAGGGGGAUAACUAACGGAAACGGUAGCUAAUACCGCACACCAUCAGAUGUGUCCAGUUGGGAUUAGCUAGUGGGUGGGGUAAUGGCGCACCUAGGCGACGAUCCCUAGCUGGUCUGAGAGGAUGACCAGCCACACUGGAACUGAGACACGGUCCAGACUCCUACGGGAGGCAGCAGUGGGGAAUAUUGCACAAUGGGCGAAAGCCUGAUGCAGCCAUGCAGCGUGUGUGAAGAAGGCCUUCGGGUUGUAAAGCACUUUCAGCGAGGAGGCGUUACUCACAGAAGAAGCACCGGCUAACUCCGUGCCAGCAGCCGCGGUAAUAC
rnacentral:rRNA from 1 species